ACAGUGGACGCGAGCAUCUUUGUUGUAAGUAAUGAAGAGCGUACGGUGGAUGCCUUGGCACCAGGAGCCGAUGAAGGACGUAGGAGGCUGCGAUAAGCCUCGGGGAGCUGUCAACCGAGCUGUGAUCCGAGGAUGUCCGAAUGGGGAAACCCAGCACGAGUGAUGUCGUGUUACCCGCGCCUGAAUAUAUAGGGCGUGUGGAGGGAACGUGGGGAAGUGAAACAUCUCAGUAC
rnacentral:rRNA from 1 species